rnacentral:rRNA from 1 species
UACAGAGGUCCCAAGCGUUGUUCGGAUUCACUGGGCGUAAAGGGUGUGUAGGUGGCGCGCUAAGUCGGGGUGUGAAAUUUCGGAGCUUAACUCCGAAACUGCAUUCGAUACUGGCGUGCUUGAGGACUGGAGAGGAGACUGGAAUUCAUGGUGUAGCAGUGAAAUGCGUAGAGAUCAUGAGGAAGACCAGUGGCGAAGGCGGGUCUCUGGACAGUUCCUGACACUGAGACACGAAGGCCAGGGGAGCAAACGGGG